UUUUGCAGCUCGGGUUAAUUUUUAAUAUUCUUUGGGUAAGGUAAAAGGGAAGACAGGAGCCCAGAGCCCACGACCCGCUUCUACAGCUCUCGCUCUUUGUUCCCAAGUCUCCUCCCCUCUUCUUUGUCUGGGAGGAAGGCUGGAGGAUGAUCACGUGGCAGGAGGGGCGGUGCUCCUGGCGGUUCCUGGGCUCCGAGCUGGGAACCAGGGUGAGUUUUGCAGGCGGCUCCUUUUUUUUUUUUGUCAUUUACUCUUUGUCUUGGUUACUGAUGUGGCUGUGUGACCGCAGCCCUGGGAUUUUCUUCCCUCUAACUCCAAACGCCAGUUCCUUAGAUCUCCCUGUUUUAAGGUCAGUGGAAACUUAAAAAAAAGCAGUGCUAAGCUAAUAAAUUCUUACUUGCAAAAGACUUUGUCCCGGUUCUUUGUAAAGCCUGCACUCUUGCCUUGUAGUUCCCAGAUGGUCAAAGAGCGGGCCAUGUUUAGGAAUACGUGCUUGUAGCAUCCCGACGUGCCCCUUUUUUUUUUCUUUUCUUUAUUCCCGAGGCUGGAAUUCACUCUGUAGCCUGAGUGCUGGGAUGGAUUCCUGGCAAGAGCCCCCGCCCUGGCCUAUUUCAUUAAGGCCGAUGGUGGUGACAUGGCUCAGGGCAUUCCGGCAGGUGCCACCAAAUCUGACAAGCCUGAUCCCGUUUUAGAAUCCCGGAAGCCCAAUUGAACUGGCUCCUGUACAUCGUCCUCUGAUCUCCACACUAGUGAUAUGGCACAGGCUCAGAGCGGGUCGCAGCUACUGGCUAUUUUUUAAUGCCCGGACGAAUUAAGCGUCUGUAAGAUGCUCCGUUUCAAAUGUUAGGCGCCUGGGGAUUGGCCGGGAGGGCUCAUGUUUAGAACACCCAUCUGCGGCCAUAGGCCAGAGGGAGGUCACAGCACUUGUUAAAAUAUUCAAAAUGUACAUCCCAGACCUUGGAUAUGACAGGUCAGGCAGCCUAAGUCUAAAUUCUCCCCUGUCUAACAUAGGACAACCUGGGAAGGUAGUUUAGGGCUGGAGAGAUGGCUGGGCAGUUGAGAACACCGGCUGUUCUUCCAGAGCACCUGGGUCCAGUCUCCACCACCUACACAGCAGCUCACAACCCUCUGUGAUUCCAGUUCCAGGACAUCUGUUGACCUCUUCUCUCCCCUGCAGGUACCUACCAUGCCAAGCAGUGCGCUGAUAAUUUAUGCAAGCGAAACGCCUAUAUGCAUAAUGUAAGUUUUAAAAAGUAGAUGGCGCAAUAUUGUAUUCCAAAGAGAACUAGAAAAGUGAGCUUUCAGCCGAGCGUGGUGGCGCACGCCUUUAAUCCCAGCACUCGGGAGGCAGAGGCAGGCGGAUUUCUGAGUUCGAGGGCAGCCUGGUCUACGGAGUGAGUUCUAGGACAGCCAGGGCUAUACAGAGAAACCCUGCCUCGAGAAAACAAAACCAAACAAACACAAAACAAAAAACGAAAAGUGAGCUUUCUUACUGCAGUGUUAGGAGUAGGACGUUGGUGUCACAUGCUUGUCACCACAGCACUGGAGAGGUAGAGACAGAAGAAUCAGGAGUCAGCCUGACACCCUACCUCAAAGACUAAAAAAAAAAAAAAAAAUCUAACCAAACCAACUCGGGACAAGAAUACCCUUACAACACCCGUGCUUCCAUCUGUGUUAAUAACCUCUUCCAACUCUGCUUCAUUGAAAAACAUUUCCCGCUCUGGGGAUAUAGCUUAGUGGUUGGCGCUUGACUAGUGUGCAAAAAGUCCUGGGUUCAUCUCCAUCACUGCAAAAGUCAAUCUAUAAACCAGUCAGUCGGUCGAUCGAUCGGGAGUUUAGUCCAUGUAGAGAAUAGCAGGUGUGGUGGGCGGCAGAGUUGUAUAAGAAAGGGGAUGGAAACUCUAGACUGGCUAAGCUUUGGGAGCUUGGAACAGACCAUGGCUGGGCCCCAAGAUCAUUUGUUUAGUCUGAUAGUGUAGUUCCAAGUUCGCC
rnacentral:lncRNA from 1 species